ensembl:lncRNA
AUUCCUGACAGUUCAAAACUUAACUAUCAUUAAAACCAUGAUAACUGUGUGAUAUGACACUUUCACAGUAAAUUUGACCCUCCCAGGCACAGGUGUAGUGUGAGUUAAUGUUAAUGCAUAGCUGAUAUGGUUUUCUUAUCAUUAGGUAUUGGCUAUAUUAAUAUUAUAUUGUUUUGCAAACCAAAAGUGCACAUUGCUGCUAACUUAGUUUGUGAUUGAUGGUUGACAGUUUUUUUCUUUUCUCCCUGCAGCUCCUUUAUAGUCAACCCCCAUCACACCUUAUUGUCGUCAUUUUGAAAACCCAAAGGCACUUUUAAGAGCCAAGUCCAUCUAUCUAUCUAUCUAUCUAUCUAUCUAUCUAUCUAUCUAUCUAUCUAUCUAUCUAUCUAUCUAUCUAUCCAUCUAUCUAUCUAUCUAUCUAUCUAUCUAUCUAUCUAUCUUUCUAUCUAUCUAUCUAUCUAUCUAUCUAUCUAUCUAUCUGUCUGUCUGUCUGUCUGUCUGUCUGUCUGUCUGUCUGUCUGUCUGUCUGUCUGUCUGUCUGUCUGUCUGUCUAUCUAUCUGUCAGUCUGCCUGUCUGUCUGUCAGUCUGCCUGUCUGUUUGCCUGUCUGCCUUUCUGUCUGUCAGUCAUUUAUCAUGCCUGGGGGGUCGAUCCAAAAGAAGUGCCCCUUUUGUGAGUCCAUUUUAUUUUGUGCCCAAAACAAAUGCUCAUAUUGUAAAAUGGAGCAGCCUGCCGAGCAGCGACUGAAGAAAAGACUGAAAAAGUUUGACCAGAAGCGAGAGGAAUGGGUGGUUGGCCUUAAAAAGAACCACAACCUGGCAUCCAUUAAGGAUGAAGCUAUAGUCCUGCUUGAGAAACUCCAUGCCAUGGGCUACAAGCCGGUUCUCCUUCUUGGCAAGGAGACAAAGACGGGAGCAACAAAUUGUGAAGUUUUAACGCCUCGUUGCGAACUCACUCUUCAGGCCCAGAACUCACUCCAGAAGAUGGGCUCAUUUUAUGAGUCUAUUUGUGAAGGUUGGAGUCAGGAAAUUCCUGCAGCUGAUGAUCAGGUGAUCACACUAACCCUCACACCGUGUGACCCCUUGGAGGUCAAAAGCCAGGAGCAGGCAAGCAGCACAGAGGGAAAAGCCUACAGCUCUGACCUGAUCAGGGCUCAUGCAGAGCGAGCCCUAAACCUAAGCCCUGUGCAGACUGCUGAGGAGGUGGAGAACCCCAAAGACUUGCAGACUGCUGAGGAGGUGGAGAACCCCAAAGACUUGCAGACUGCUGAGGAGGUGGAGAACCCCAAAGACUUGCAGACUGCUGAGGUGCAGAGCAGAGAAACGAAGGAUCAGCACUUGUUGAAACAAAUUGGGAUAACCAAAUACAGGUCAGACACGGGCACAGAGCUUAAUCCAAGACGAAAAAAGAAAACAGUCAGAGGCACCAAAGCAUCUGCCUGUGAGGAAAAAGACACAGAUAAGGCAAAGAAGAAAUAUUGGUUGACUGGAAGCCCUGUCCAGUAUGUGGUAAGGAGUGGGCCCAUUCCUGGCAACCGAAGGAUUUUCUUCAAUGAAUGAAUUCAUAGUUUUUAGUUUUUUUGUACUUUAUAUUGUUUGCUAAUAUAAGUGACAUAUUAUUUGAUUGUUGUGUUUUUUUGUUGUUAUGAAAGAUAAAUAAAUUGUCAAAGAUGAACAUUUUUGGUUUUACUUCUCCAUGCAUCAUCUUAUUCAAAAACACAAUGUGAUAGUGUUAGUUGAUGAAAGGUAAUAGCUAAAGAAGAUGACGAAAAU